AAUGGAUCGAUCCAAAUAAAAUAAUGAGACAAGAUUCCAAAUCUACAAUUAUCUGCUCUUUGUCUAUUUCCAAAAAUCUCCAAACCCUUCCUCUCUUUACUCGCCUCUUCAAAAUUUGGUGGCUAUUGGAAAUCCAAGUGACCGCAGAUGUUCUUCAUUUCUGUCCGGAUAUGACGCCACUUGUUUGACGAUUAUUUCGGGUAUUACCUUCGACCAACUUCUCUGAUGACCCAAACUAGCUAGGACAUCUAAUUCUACUAUGACUUUGUACAUGUGUGAAGUAUUCUGCUAUAAAAUUACUGUACCUUCUGAUUCCUCGCAUAAAUGUUGAAUUGUUGUUA